GAUGAACGCUGGCGGCGUGCCUAAUACAUGCCAGUCGAGCGAACAGACGAGGAGCUUGCUCCUCUGACGUUAGCGGCGGACGGGUGAGUAACACGUGGAUAACCUACCUAUAAGACUGGGAUAACUUCGGGAAACCGGAGCUAAUACCGGAUAAUAUAUUGAACCGCAUGGUUCAAUAGUGAAAGACGGUUUUGCUGUCACUUAUAGAUGGAUCCGCGCCGCAUUAGCUAGUUGGUAAGGUAACGGCUUACCAAGGCAACGAUGCGUAGCCGACCUGAGAGGGUGAUCGGCCACACUGGAACUGAGACACGGUCCAGACUCCUACGGGAGGCAGCAGUAGGGAAUCUUCCGCAAUGGGCGAAAGCAUGACGGAGCAACGCCGCGUGAGUGAUGAAGGUCUUCGGAUCGUAAAACUCUGUUAUUAGGGAAGAACAAAUGUGUAAGUAACUAUGCACGUCUUGACGGUACCUAAUCAGAAAGCCACGGCUAACUACGUG
rnacentral:rRNA from 1 species